AGUGUAGCAUGUAAUGUAAUUAUGUAGCAGAAUUAAUUUUAUUUAUUUAUUUUAUUUUUCUUUAUGAACCUUCUCAAAACUAAUUUUCUUUGAAUUGACAUGUCUGUAAUAUAUUAUUUCUGUUUUAUCUUGCUUUCAUUUUUGGUCCCUAGUGUGUAAAAGGCCAUCCUCAUCUAUGAAUAUUGGUUUUCCUUUGUUUUUUUAAUUGUAUUUUGUUUUGGUGGGGAAGCUUUUAUUUUCUUACUUCCUGUUUGCGCGCUACAUCCUGCGUGUUCCCGCUGCCCUCCUCAGUUCGCGCCAAGCUGCGCUGGGGAGAGGGUGUUUGUGGAGAAUCCGGAGCCCAGGAGCUGCUGUGAUUAAAAUGUUCUUGUUUUGAACAGGUAUGUGGGUUGUUUCAGAUUUUAUUCGGAUGUUAAAUUAAUGUAUUUAGCACAUUUCUAUGUUAUGGUGGAAAAUUGUAAUUGUAGGGCAGAUUAUUUCUGUUUAGGUUUUAUUUUAAUUGCUUUGUAUGUCAGGGAAUUUUAGUUUUGUUUAAUGCAUUUCUGUCAGUUCGCGCCAAGCUGCGCUGGGGAGAGGGUGUUUGUGGAGAAUCCGGAGCCCAGGAGCUGCUGUGAUUAAAAUGUUCUUGUUUUGAACAGGAAUAAAAUUAUCCUGAAUCCUGA